rnacentral:lncRNA from 1 species
GAAUACUUGAGCAGAAGAGAGGCAUCGAAGUUGGGUUUUGGAAGAUGAAAUUGUGUAAUCCAUAAGGUACGAAGUUCAAAGUUUUUAGAUUAGUUUUUAUGAAUUUUUGUUAUGUAAUGUCUAAAUCAAUCUUUGUUCUGUUCACCUUCCGAUGACUCUGCUGAUUAUUCUCAUAACUGAAGUUUAUGUUUGAUUCCGGCAAAUUAAGUCAAAGGGUCUAGGAAAAAAUAAUUGAAAAUCUCGUAUUGUUGAUUAUGUGCUGGUAUAUUACCGUUCUAGGGAACAUUUUUAUAUUAUGGAUUUCUUUACAAAUCGAAUACU